UUAACAUUUUCCUUUUUGAAAUAAUUUGACACUCUCAUCACCACAUAUAUAGUGUACUAAACUAGUUCUAUAAAUAUAUUGAAAUGAAUAGAACAACAAAAUAGUGGAAGAUCUAUAUAUAUACAAGGGAAGUCAUACUUCACAUAAGAGAGACAGUUGGGCAGCCUUCAAUUCUUUGGUUGGUCGAAACACAUAAGUUGC
rnacentral:lncRNA from 1 species